rnacentral:rRNA from 1 species
UGGGGAAUUUUGGACAAUGGGCGAAAGCCUGAUCCAGCAAUGCCGCGUGUGUGAAGAAGGCCUUCGGGUUGUAAAGCACUUUUGUCCGGAAAGAAAUCCUUGGCUCUAAUACAGUCGGGGGAUGACGGUACCGGAAGAAUAAGCACCGGCUAACUACGUGCCAGCAGCCGCGGUAAUACGUAGGGUGCAAGCGUUAAUCGGAAUUACUGGGCGUAAAGCAUGCGCAGGCGGUUUGCUAAGACCGAUGUGAAAUCCCCGGGCUCAACCUGGGAACUGCAUUGGUGACUGGCAGGCUAGAGUAUGGCAGAGGGGGGUAGAAUUCCACGUGUAGCAGUGAAAUGCGUAGAGAUGUGGAGGAAUACCGAUGGCGAAGGCAGCCCCCUGGGCCAAUACUGACGCUCAUGCACGAAAGCGUGGGGAGCAAACAGGAUUAGAUACCCUGGUAGUCCACGCCCUAAACGAUGUCAACUAGUUGUUGGGGAUUCAUUUCCUUAGUAACGUAGCUAACGCGUGAAGUUGACCGCCUGGGGAGUACGGUCGCAAGAUUAAAACUCAAAUGAAUUGACGGGGUCAUAGCUGUUUCCU